rnacentral:rRNA from 1 species
UACGUAGGGGGCAAGCGUUGUCCGGAUUUAUUGGGCGUAAAGAGCUCGUAGGUGGCUGAGUAAGUCGGAUGUCAAAUCCCCAGGCUCAACCUGGGACACCACCCGAUACUGCCGUGGCUAGAGUCCGGAAGAGGAGAGUGGAAUUCCUGGUGUAGCGGUGAAAUGCGCAGAUAUCAGGAAGAACACCAAUGGCGAAAGCGCUCCUCUGGGACGGUAGCUGACGCUG